rnacentral:rRNA from 1 species
UGGAAACGACUGCUAAGACUGGAUAGGAGACAAGAAGGCAUCUUCUUGUUUUUAAAAGACCUAGCAAUAGGUAUGCUUAGGGAGGAGCUUGCGUCACAUUAGUUAGUUGGUGGGGUAAAGGCCUACCAAGACUAUGAUGUGUAGCCGGGCUGAGAGGUUGAACGGCCACAUUGGGACUGAGACACGGCCCAAACUCCUACGGGAGGCAGCAGUAGGGAAUUUUCGGCAAUGGAGGAAACUCUGACCGAGCAACGCCGCGUGAACGAUGAAGUAUUUCGGUACGUAAAGUUCUUUUAUUAGGGAAGAAUAAAUGAUGGAAAAAUCAUUCUGACGGUACCUAAUGAAUAAGCCCCGGCUAACUAUGUGCCAGCAGCCGCGGUAAUACAUAGGGGGCAAGCGUUAUCCGGAAUUAUUGGGCGUAAAGGGUGCGUAGGCGGUUAAAUAAGUUUGUGGUCUAAGUGCAAUGCUCAACAUUGUGAUGCUAUAAAAACUGUUUAGCUAGAGUAAGAUAGAGGCAAGUGGAAUUCCAUGUGUAGUGGUAAAAUGCGUAAAUAUAUGGAGGAACACCAGUAGCGAAGGCGGCUUGCUGGGUCUUUACUGACGCUGAGGCACGAAAGCGUGGGGAGCAAACAGGAUUAGAUACCCUGGUAGUCCACGCCGUAAACGAUGAGUACUAAACGUUGGGUAAAACCAGUGUUGAAGUUAACACAUUAAGUACUCCGCCUGAGUAGUACGUACGCAAGUAUGAAACUUAAAGGAAUUGACGGGACUCCGCACAAGCGGUGGAUCAUGUUGUUUAAUUCGAAGGUACCCGAAAAACCUCACCAGGUCUUGACAUGCUUCUGCAAAGCUGUAGAAACACAGUGGAGGUUAUCAGUUGCACAGGUGGUGCAUGGUUGUCGUCAGCUCGUGUCGUGAGAUGUUGGGUUAAGUCCCGCAACGAGCGCAACCCUUAUUGUUAGUUACCAGCACGUAAUGGUGGGGACUUUAGCAAGACUGCCAGUGAUAAAUUGGAGGAAGGUGGGGACGACGUCAAAUCAUCAUGCCCCUUAUGACCUGGGCUACAAACGUGAUACAAUGGCUGUUACAAAGGGUAGCUGAAGCGCAAGUUUUUGGCGAAUCUCAAAAAAACAGUCUCAGUUCGGAUUGAAGUCUGCAACUCGACUUCAUGAAGUUGGAAUCGCUAGUAAUCGCGAAUCAGCAUGUCGCGGUGAAUACGUUCUCGGGGUUUGUACACACCGCCCGUCAAAC